GAUGAACGCUGGCGGCGUGCCUAAUACAUGCAAGUCGAGCGAACAGACGAGGAGCUUGCUCCUUCGACGUUAGCGGCGGACGGGUGAGUAACACGUAGGUAACCUACCUAUAAGACUGGGAUAGCUUCGGGAAACCGGAGCUAAUACCGGAUAAUAUUUCGAACCGCAUGGUUCGAUAGUGAAAGAUGGCUUUGCUAUCACUUAUAGAUGGACCUGCGCCGUAUUAGCUAGUUGGUAAGGUAACGGCUUACCAAGGCAACGAUACGUAGCCGACCUGAGAGGGUGAUCGGCCACACUGUAACUGAGACACGGUCCAGACUCCUACGGGAGGCAGCAGUAGGGAAUCUUCCGCAAUGGGCGAAAGCCUGACGGAGCAACGCCGCGUGAGUGAUGAAGGUCUUCGGAUCGUAAAACUCUGUUAUUAGGGAAGAACAAACGUGUAAUUAACUGUGCACGUCUUGACGGUACCUAAUCAGAAAGCCACGGCUAACUACGUG
rnacentral:rRNA from 1 species